GAUCCUGGCUCAGGAUGAACGCUAGCUACAGGCUUAACACAUGCAAGUCGAGGGGCAGCAUGGUCUUAGCUUGCUAAGGCUGAUGGCGACCGGCGCACGGGUGAGUAACACGUAUCCAACCUGCCGUCUACUCUUGGCCAGCCUUCUGAAAGGAAGAUUAAUCCAGGAUGGGAUCAUGAGUUCACAUGUCCGCAUGAUUAAAGGUAUUUUCCGGUAGACGAUGGGUAG
rnacentral:rRNA from 1 species